CACGGGGGGAGCAAGCGUUGUUCGGAAUCACUGGGCGUAAAGGGCGUGUAGGCGGUCAAGUAAGUGGGAUGUGAAAUCCCUCGGCUCACCCGAGGACCUGCAUCCCAAACUGCUUGGCUUGAGUAUGGGAGAGGAUGAGGGAAUUCCUGGUGUAGAGGUGAAAUUCGUAGAUAUCAGGAGGAACACCAGUGGCGAAGGCGGCUUUCUGGACGGUAACUGACGCUGAGACGCGAAAGCGUGGGGAGCAAACAGG
rnacentral:rRNA from 1 species